AGAAAAGAGAACAAAAGGAAAAUAGGCCGAUCUGUUUAGCCUAUGUACUCGGCAUAUAUUAUGAUUCAAAUAGUUUGGGCCUUCUGGGCCCAUGAUUAAUCCUCGGCCGAAGAGGGGAAAUAAGGGAAGAAAGGAAGGAGCCUUCGGUUGAUUUUUAGACACAGGCACAGAGGGAGAAGAGAUGAAGUACCGGUGUAAAGUGUGGAUUUGGAAUCAAAAAACUAUUGCUGCAAUACUCGCCGGGAAACAUUCGACUCGCGAAACAAGAGAACUGCAAAGCUGUCGCAAACGAGUACAUAGAAUGUGAAUUAAUGGUUUAUUUAAUACCCUUUUGGUUGCUAUUGUACUUUAAUUGCUCUCUGUCUCUCUGUGCCUUGGCCCAGUGAAAUUUUUUAUAUAUUUUUUUGCUUGAAUUUUGUAUAUUAUUCUGAUUGAUUUAGUUCUGCACAAGCCAAAAGCGUAUAGACAUCUUCUCUAUAAUGUGCUUCAAGAAACUGUGAAAUUAAAGCUUAGUGUGCUGAGCUGCCUCAAUCUUUUCCUUCAAACAUGAAUAAUCUGUUGUUUCCAUCAAGGCUCUCCAUUGUAGGGAAACUAUUCUGCUUCUUUCCAUUAGACAAUCUGUCGUGUUUCUUUGAUGGUCCAUCUUCACAUUGAUGCUUUCCUUGGGGGAUUCCUGAGGCAGAACAAGGGCAGUAACAGGCUUCCUAGCUUUUUUCGCCUGCAGACAGAAAUCAAGUAGAGGUUAAUUUUUAUUGCUGGACGAGUGCAUUUCAAGUGCUCUAUGUGAAUCUCAAGUUUCUCACCUUAUGUUCGGAUGCGCCUGACAAUUUGCCCUGAAUUAUACUUCCUUGUUUGUGAGUCCUCGUAGGGACAGGAACCUCUUUGCUGACAACUCUAACAGAUAUGUCUUCAUGGCUAUCUAUGGUUGAAUCUGCUGAGGGAGAGGAAAUAUCCAUUUGUAGUAUACGAUUCUUUUCAGUUCCAUUCUGGUCAAAUGUUGAAGAAGGCACAGUUUCAGUAAUUGUUUGAACCGUUUGCAUCUGCCGGUAAUGCCCAUUGUUCAAGUUGGAAGCUCCAAAUUGCGAAGACUGUAAUAAAGAUAUGAGUAGAAAUAUUUUCAGGUACUCUUCACCGCUGUGUUCAUCAGGUACAACAAUAAAGGAAUCUGCCAUCUCAUUGGGAUCUUCCUCCAUCUCCGGCAACCUAUCAGAGUCAUUGUCGAAGAAGGGCAUUAGAUCAUCAAUGGAUAUGCCUUCAUCCAUGUGGAAUUGGGGAUGCUCUGGGGAGGGAUUGUUGAAAUUUGGCUCACAAGUACUAGCAAGCAAAGAUUCCAGAAGUAGCUCCGAUUCGACCUGGAGAAAACAAUGAUAGAGAAGCAAUUGCAUUAGUCCUGGACAUAUAUCUAAUUUGAUAACUGGUAAUAAAAUGCUGUAUAUUUGAACUAGAUAUACAUUAAAGAAAUUAGGCACUCUUCUCUCA